GUGGGGAAUAUUGGACAAUGGGCGAAAGCCUGAUCCAGCCAUGCCGCGUGUGUGAAGAAGGUCUUCGGAUUGUAAAGCACUUUAAGUUGGGAGGAAGGGCAGUAAGUUAAUACCUUGCUGUUUUGACGUUACCGACAGAAUAAGCACCGGCUAACUUCGUGCCAGCAGCCGCGGUAAUACGAAGGGUGCAAGCGUUAAUCGGAAUUACUGGGCGUAAAGCGCGCGUAGGUGGUUUUGUAAGUGGGAGGUGAAAUCCCCGGGCUCAACCUGGGAACUGCCUCCAAAACUGCAUGACUAGAGUACGGUAGAGGGUAGUGGAAUUUCCUGUGUAGCGGUGAAAUGCGUAGAUAUAGGAAGGAACACCAGUGGCGAAGGCGACUACCUGGACUGAUACUGACACUGAGGUGCGAAAGCGUGGGGAGCAAACAGGAUUAGAUACCCGAGUAGUCC
rnacentral:rRNA from 1 species